rnacentral:rRNA from 1 species
CCUACGGGAGGCAGCAGUGGGGAAUUUUGGACAAUGGGCGCAAGCCUGAUCCAGCAAUGCCGCGUGAGUGAAGAAGGCCUUCGGGUUGUAAAGCUCUUUUGUCAGGGAAGAAACGGGAUUGGCUAAUAUCCGAUCCUAAUGACGGUACCUGAAGAAUAAGCACCGGCUAACUACGUGCCAGCAGCCGCGGUAAUACGUAGGGUGCAAGCGUUAAUCGGAAUUACUGGGCGUAAAGCGUGCGCAGGCGGUUUUGUAAGUCUGACGUGAAAUCCCCCGGCUCAACCUGGGAAUUGCGUUGGAGACUGCAAGGCUGGAGUCUGGCAGAGGGGGGUAGAAUUCCACGUGUAGCAGUGAAAUGCGUAGAGAUGUGGAGGAACACCGAUGGCGAAGGCAGCCCCCUGGGUCAAGACUGACGCUCAUGCACGAAAGCGUGGGGAGCAAACAGGAUUAGAUACCCCCGUAGUC